UGAGGAAUAUUGGUCAAUGGGCGCGAGCCUGAACCAGCCAAGUCGCGUGAGGGAUGACGGCCCUACGGGUUGUAAACCUCUUUUGCCGGGGAGCAACGGGCGUCACGUGUGGCGCCACUGAGAGUACCCGGAGAAAAAGCAUCGGCUAACUCCGUGCC
rnacentral:rRNA from 1 species